ACCAGGAGAUUGGCCAGAUUUAGCACGAAGAAUUGCACGCGUUGCUACUGACGGCAUUUGCAUGGCAGGUACAGGAGCAGCUUUAUGGCGUUUAGGACCAGACGACGGGCCAGGUGAUACAGCAGCUGCAGACGGACUAGCUUGACGAGAUUCUGGACGACGCAGAUGAGACGAUGCAUACGACGCUGGACAAGGAGCUGCUAUUUGCUGUUGGGUAUUUUCAGGUGAGUAUUUGUACUUUUUAG